rnacentral:rRNA from 1 species
UACAGAGGGGGCAAGCGUUAUUCGGAAUUAUUGGGCGUAAAGGGCGCGUAGGCGGCCUGGCAAGUGGAAGGUGAAAUCCCUCGGCUUAACCGAGGAACUGCCCUCCAAACUGCUUGGCUUGAGUCCGGGAGAGGGAUGCGGAAUUCCAGGUGUAGCGGUGAAAUGCGUAGAUAUCUGGAGGAACACCGGUGGCGAAGGCGGCAUCCUGGACCGGCAUUGACGCUGAGGAGCGAAAGCCAGGGGAGCAAACGGG